rnacentral:rRNA from 1 species
CCUACGGGACGCAGCAGUAGGGAAUUUUGCGCAAUGGGCGAAAGCCUGACGCAGCAACGCCGCGUGAUCGAGACGCCCUUCGGGGUGUAAAGAUCUGUCAGUGGGGACGAAACUUGAUGGUACCCACAGAGGAAGCACCGGCUAACUCCGUGCCAGCAGCCGCGGCAAUACGGGGGGUGCAAGCGUUGUCCGGAGUCAGUGGGCGUAAAGAGUUCGUAGGCGGCACGUAAAGUCUGGUGUUAAAGGCAGAGGCUCAACUUCUGUACGGCACUGGAUACUGGCGGGCUAGAGUGCGGUAGAGGUAGGGGGAAUUCGUGGUGUAGCGGUGAAAUGCUUAGAUAUCAGGAAGAACACCGAUGGCGAAGGC